rnacentral:rRNA from 1 species
GUCGAGGGGCAGCGCGGGUAGCAAUACCUGGCGGCGACCGGCGCAAGGGUGCGUAACGCGUGAGCAAUCUGCCCGUGUCAGGGGGAUAAGCGAUGGAAACGUCGUCUAAUACCGCAUAACAACGGUCACGGCAUCAUGACCGUUUGAAAGAUACGUCGGACACGGAAGAGCUCGCGAGACAUUAGCUGGUUGGCGGGGUAACGGCCCACCAAGGCUGCGAUGUCUAGGGGAACUGAGAGGUUGGUCCCCCACACUGGAACUGAGACACGGUCCAGACUCCUACGGGAGGCAGCAGUGAGGAAUAUUGGACAAUGGUCGGAAGACUGAUCCAGCCAUGCCGCGUGGAGGUUAAGGUCCUAUGGAUUGUAAACUCCUUUUGAGAGGGAGCAAUAAGUGUCACGCGUGACACGAUGAGAGUACCUUUCGAAUAAGCAUCGGCUAACUCCGUGCCAGCAGCCGCGGUAAUACGGAGGAUGCGAGCGUUAUCCGGAUUUAUUGGGUUUAAAGGGUGCGUAGGCGGUUUUGCAAGUCAGCGGUGAAACGCACGGGCUUAACCUGUGACCUGCCGUUGAAACUGCGGGACUGGAAUGCGGAUGCUGUGGGAGGAAUGUGUGGUGUAGCGGUGAAAUGCAUAGAUAUCACACAGAACACCGAUUGCGAAGGCAUCUCACAAAUCCGUGAUUGACGCUGAGGCACGAAAGUGUGGGGAUCAAAC